rnacentral:rRNA from 1 species
AAACCCUACGGGGCGCAGCAGUGGGGAAUAUUGCACAAUGGGGGAAACCCUGAUGCAGCGACGCCGCGUGAGUGAAGAAGUAUUUCGGUAUGUAAAGCUCUAUCAGCAGGGAAGAAAAUGACGGUACCUGACUAAGAAGCCCCGGCUAACUACGUGCCAGCAGCCGCGGUAAUACGUAGGGGGCAAGCGUUAUCCGGAUUUACUGGGGGUAAAGGGAGCGUAGACGGCAGAGCAAGUCUGAAGUGAAAGCCCGCGGCCCAACU